rnacentral:rRNA from 1 species
UGGGGAAUAUUGCACAAUGGAGGAAACUCUGAUGCAGCGACGCCGCGUGAAUGAUGAAUGCCUUAGGGCAGUAAAGUUCUUUUAUAUGGGAAGAUAAUGACGGUACCAUAAGAAAAAGCCCCGGCUAACUACGUGCCAGCAGCCGCGGUAAUACGUAGGGGGCUAGCGUUGUCCGGAAUCACUGGGCGUAAAGGGUUCGCAGGCGGAAAUGCAAGUCAGAUGUAAAAGGCAGUAGCUUAACUACUGUAAGCAUUUGAAACUGUAUAUCUUGAGAAGUGCAGAGGUAAGUGGAAUUUUUAGUGUAGCGGUGAAAUGCGUAGAUAUUAAAAAGAAUACCGGUGGCGAAGGCGACUUACUGGGCACAUUCUGACGCUGAGGAACGAAAGCGUGGGUAGCAAACA